CUAACUCCCUCUCUGGAUAUGUGGAACAAGGAGGACCUUAAACUUAACAAUAGAGCCAGUGAUGGUUCUACCAGUCUCCCCAAAGCCUCAAGUUUAAAAGCCAUAUGAACUGGCUGAUAGUGGAAAAUGGAAGCCAUGACGAAAUCAGAUUAGAGUACUACCUGGUGAAGCCUUGAGGACCUACCAAGAAAAGCAAACUUGGAUCUUUGCAAGGUUAGAAGAACGAAUGGGAUCCAAGAAAAAGACUGGUCAUAUUCAACGGCUAAGAGCGUUGGAGAAGGCCUGUGGAGUCUCAGCAGGUCAGGUCCAUGACUCAUGAGUAGACACCUGUGUUUCUACUGCCUGGUGCCAUAAUCAUAAACAAGUGAAAAUGCUCAGGAUGUUCACUGCAGCCUGCCUCACCCUGGAAAAGAGAUGUGAGGAUAAUGAGAAAGAAGAGUAUGUUCGGUGCGGAGCAUGCAAAUUUGCAUGAAACGUAAAUGUAACUUUGUGCCUAACUACAACUGGUUCCCACAGAUAUUUUAGUUCUCAGUUUUAAUAACAAGUGUCCAGCACAGAAACGCCUAGAACAUAAAAGGGCCCGAUACAAAUUUACUGAUUUAAGAAAAAAUACUGUUUGUUUUCCUAAGAAAGAUAAAGCACCAAUAAGAAAUGAAUCAUAC
rnacentral:lncRNA from 1 species